UGGGGUGACUAAUGUUAUAGCUCUGGGCUUCAGUCAUUGUUGAUUCUACCAAGAGGCCUAGGUUGGAAGCCUCUAGAGUCUAGAUUGCUCCUAUUUUCUGUGACCAUGUGUGGAGAUGUGACUUAACCUUUGUAGCCUCUGGGGUUUUGUUUGUGGUCCUGAAGGCUGUUCCUUUAUGAGAACUUAAAGGCACGUGACUACACUUGAACAUUUUUUUCUUCCAGUUGGUCAGGUGCCUGGAGUUACUUCACACUAUUUAAGUAGUCUGCAUAAGGUAAACAAAAAAUAAGUCUAUUUUCUAAUUCUCUACCUUUGUACUUACAAAAUGUUGAGAACUAAUGUUAUAUGGUAGUAAAGUAAGUACAAGUUCAGUAAGUCAGGUAGUGAUUAACAAGUUCUAAAAGGGAGUAACAUUGUCAUUGUGGUGAAGUCCUAUGAGCUGUCUGGGGAGAAAGGAAAGGCAUGAACCAAAGGCACUGAGAGGAAAGGAAGGACCAGAUCUGUAGAAUCCAGUGGGAGAUGGCCACAUACUGCACUGCGUCUUGCCUUCUUAGGGUUGUAACUGUGGUAAAAGAUGAGGGGGCACUCAUUAAGUAACAACUCCUCAGAUGACUUUUGCUUGAUUUACAUGUUAUGAAUAUUCUGCUAAAUAUUGUUUUAAAUGCCUGGCUUCAAGAAGUUGUUGAUCUAUCUAGACAGUUCUUUUCUGCUUUAAUGGCAAAGUAUCAGCCAGUUUAUUUUCUGAUACUCCUGAUAGGCAUGCAGGCAGGCAUACUUGGCUCACCAGUAUAGUCUAUGCAGAUUUUCUGGUUCUUACAGUCAUAACUUUAUCAUUUGUUCAGCCUUUGAGUUAUGCUUGCUAUAAAAGUUGUUUGGAAUUAAAAGGGUUGUUUGUUGUUUGUUUGUUACAGGGUUUCUCUAUGUAGCCUUGGCUGUCCUAGAGCUAGCCCUGGAAACCAGGCUGGCUUCAGAGUUAUAGACAUUCACCUGACUCUGCCUUAGUGCUGAAAUUAAAGGCGUGUGCCAUCAUUCCCUGGCUGAAAGUUUUUGGUUUUGUUCUCACUUUUGAAAAAACUUGUUAAGGUUUCUUCUUCAGUUUGUACUUUUAGGAAAUAAAAUGUUUCUGUAAAUAAUAAAUGAUCUGGGCAUAUGAUAUUGUGAUAAAAUUUUGCUUUAGUCAGUAGAGAUGAACUGCUUAGCCAGAGUACGUUUUCCUGUUCACUUAUCUAUGUUGCAUUUGUACAUGAAAGGGAUUUAUUACAUAAGAGAAGAGAUUGUGAUAGAAAGUUAAAGGGACCCCUACCCUUUUUCCUGGGAGUUUACUGAGUUGUGUUUUAUGGAGUAGUCUUUUGAUAGAUCAGUAGCUCUAUUAUGAGUCUUUGGGGGUUGGGGAGUAGAGCAGGAUCUCAUGUCCAGGCUGACCUUGAAUUUUCUGUAUAGCUUAGGAUGACCUUAUAUUCCUGAUUUUUCUGCUGCUGAUUUAUAUUGCUGAUUUUUCCCAGGUGUUGGUUACAGGCAUAAGCCAGUUUUUUGUUUGUUUAUUUUGUUUUAAUGAUUGAUCCCAGGACCUCAUGCAUUCUGAGUGGAUGUUCUAUCACCAGACUUUAGUCCUUAGCCCCAGGUGAUCAUUUUUCUGCAGAGCUUGUCAGAGAAAAAUAGUGUACAUUAUGACCUUUUCCAGCGGCGCCAGAAUGGGCAGUAGUACUUCCCAACUUGCUGAUAAGGUUAUUUGGUCUUGAUGUCUCUUUCCCUGGGAAGACUGACAGAGACCUUAAAGUAGGUUCCAUCGGAAUAGGUUGUUAAAUGUUCUCUUAGCACACUUACUGGUUUAUUUUCAUAGCAUUUAUUUUUCUGUUAACUUUUUAUUAUUAUUAUUAUAUGUAAGUACACUGUAGCUGUCUUCAGACACACCAGAAGAGGGCGUCAGAUCUCGUUACGGAUGGUUGUGAGCCACCAUGUGGUUGCUGCGAUUUGAACUCCGGACCUUUGGAAGAGCAGUCGGGUACUCUUACCCACUGAGCCAUCUCACCAGCCCAACUUUUUUUUUUUUUUUUUUUUUAAAUAGCAGUCUUGCUUUGUUCUUCUACCUCACCUGGAAUUUGCCAGGUAGACCAGAUUGGUCUAGAACUUUUGGCCAGUUUUGUUUCUUGCUUCCUGAGUGUUGUGAUUACAGGUGUGUGCUACCAUACCCAGCUGGGAGGCGAUACCUUUUUAUAGAGUUAAAUUUGUUAUUUUAAAAUGGGUAUUUUAUCUGCAUAUAUGUGUAUGUAUCACAUGCAUACCUAGAGCCCAUGAAGGCCAGAAGGUGUCAGUCAGAUCAGCUAGAACCAAAGAUACAGAUGGUGUGAGCCACCAUGUAGAUGCUGGAAAUGGAAUCCUGGUCCUCUGGAAGAGUACUGUACCAUAUCUACAGUGCAUGAAGCAGUUUUUAAACCUUAUUGUGUGUGAUGUUUUCCAGUAUUCUAGAUUUGUUAAUGCCUGUUAUGAGCUAUUAGCGAUAACUCACCAUGCUAUUUAAGAUACUCUCUUAGGUAACACUGAUUUAUAGUCGCAGG
rnacentral:lncRNA from 1 species